rnacentral:lncRNA from 10 species
UUGCAGAUUCACAUGCAGUUGUAAGAAAUGAUGCAGAGGGAUUCCAUGUACCCUUCACCAAGCCUCCCACAAUGGGCGUGAAGGGGAGGAGUGAAAUCCUUCUGGAAAAUAUAACAGAAUAGCAGUUUUUGCCGGAAUAGCUACUUGCAGAAACGUGGUCAAAGGUACCAGCACAGCCACAGAGGAGUAGAGCACCAAGCAGGCUUUUGGAGUCCCUGAUUCUAGGACUUGACUCUUAGAUGGCAUCCCUGGACCUGCCUUGGGCCAGAGGGGAGUCCACUGCACUGAAGGGAAAUGUUACAAGACAUUCUUUAGAGAGAAAUAAAAUAAUACAGAUCAGAAACUUGGAUCUACAUAAAGAAGACAAAAGCAUCAAAGACGGAAUAAGUGCAGGACCUCAGCUGAUUGGAUGAUGCCCACCAUAUUGGGGGAGGAUCUUCCUCACCCAGUCUACCAACUGCCAUGCCAAUUUCCUCCAGAAACACCCUCACAGACACACCUGAGU